GGUGUCAGUGAAGUAGCGCUGUGUGCAUGGACCAGUGUUGUACAAGCCACACAUGUGUUGUACCAGUCAGUACAUUACUCCCAACUUAAAAUCCCAUAUGUUCCCCCUGUACUUACCUGUGUGCAGAGGGCAGGCAGCAGGGGCACAAACCAAGAACGGUGCACAACCAGGCCCGGGAGAGAAAAUGUCUGAUGUCCACAAAACCAAAUCAAAAGAGGAACACACUGUACAAAGACAACAGUGGAGAGCUGCUGCAGCUGUCUGUUCUCAAAGUGCCCGAGAUCUACCAGGACGUCACCCGUCACCCGCAUAAUCCAAGGGAUAAAAGAGAGAACAACCGGUUGUGUUCUCUGCUUACAUGAAUAUGUGCCUGUAAUGUCUGCCAACAUACACAACGAAUUCAAUAAAUGUUGAUACGUAUCACUGAUAUUUCUUAAA